GGGGCUGUAGCUCAGUGGUAGAGCACUUGCCUUGCAUGUGCAAGGCAUCAGUUAUGAACCUCAGCACCA
rnacentral:tRNA from 1 species